rnacentral:rRNA from 1 species
CUACGGGAGGCUGCAGUGGGGAAUAUUGGACAAUGGGGGAAACCCUGAUCCAGCAAUGCCGCGUGUGUGAAGAAGGCCUGCGGGUUGUAAAGCACUUUCGGUUGGGAGGACUGCUUCUAGCACUAAUAUUGUUGGAAGUUGACGUUACCUUCAGAAGAAGCACCGGCUAACUCCGUGCCAGCAGCCGCGGGUAAUACGGAGGGUGCAAGCGUUAAUCGGAAUUACUGGGCGUAAAGCGCGCGUAGGCGGCUAGAUCAGUCGGGUGUGAAAGCCCCGGGCUUAACCUGGGAACUGCAUCCGAUACUGUCUAGCUUGAGUACAGGGGAGGAGAGUGGAAUUCCACAUGUAGCGGUGAAAUGCGUAGAUAUGUGGAGGAACACCAAUGGCGAAGGCAGCUCUCUGGCCUGAUACUGACGCUGAGGUGCGAAAGCGUGGGGAGCAAACAGGAUUAGAUACCCCCGUAGUC